CUCAGGAUGAACGCUGGCGGCGUGCCUAAUACAUGCAAGUCGAGCGAACUGAUUAGAAGCUUGCUUCUAUGACGUUAGCGGCGGACGGGUGAGUAACACGUGGGCAACCUGCCUGUAAGACUGGGAUAACUUCGGGAAACCGAAGCUAAUACCGGAUAGGAUCUUCUCCUUCAUGGGAGAUGAUUGAAAGAUGGUUUCGGCUAUCACUUACAGAUGGGCCCGCGGUGCAUUAGCUAGUUGGUGAGGUAACGGCUCACCAAGGCAACGAUGCAUAGCCGACCUGAGAGGGUGAUCGGCCACACUGGGACUGAGACACGGCCCAGACUCCUACGGGAGGCAGCAGUAGGGAAUCUUCCGCAAUGGACGAAAGUCUGACGGAGCAACGCCGCGUGAGUGAUGAAGGCUUUCGGGUCGUAAAACUCUGUUGUUAGGGAAGAACAAGUACGAGAGUAACUGCUCGUACCUUGACGGUACCUAACCAGAAAGCCACGGCUAACUACGUGCCAGCAGCCGCGGUAAUACGUAGGUGGCAAGCGUUAUCCGGAAUUAUUGGGCGUAAAGCGCGCGCAGGCGGUUUCUUAAGUCUGAUGUGAAAGCCCACGGCUCAACCGUGGAGGGUCAUUGGAAACUGGGGAACUUGAGUGCAGAAGAGAAAAGCGGAAUUCCACGUGUAGCGGUGAAAUGCGUAGAGAUGUGGAGGAACACCAGUGGCGAAGGCGGC
rnacentral:rRNA from 1 species